rnacentral:rRNA from 1 species
GCCGCUCGUCCCGUCUCGUCUCGUCUCGUCUCCCCCAACCAGGCGAAAACCCGCAUCGCGAACGCCACAAGACCAAACCCCCGAAUCCGAGCCAAGCAGCAAGGGCAAAACCCCAUCUGCGGCGGCGGCGAUGGAAUCGGUGGAGGCGCUCGUGGCGCACAUCCAGGGCCUCUCCGGGAGCGCGGACGAGCUGGCGCAGCUCCACGGCCUCCUCAAGCAGGCCGACGGCGACGCCCUGCGCGUCCACUCCGCCGGCCUCCUGCCCUUCCUCUCCCACCUCCAUCCCGGCGCCCACUCCCUCGGCUACCUCUACCUCCUGGAUUCUUUCGUGUCGUCGUCCGCUAAUCUGAGGGCGCACGCCGGCGGGGACCUUCUUGUGACCGUGGCCGAUUUCCUCACCUCUUGCUCGGCAGACCAGAUACGCCUGGCGCCCGACAAAUUUCUGAAUGUGUGUAGGGUGCUCAAGAACGAGGUCAUGCAGCUCAAUGCGCCGAUCAGAGGGAUUGCUCCGCUGCGGGCGGCCGUCCGCAAGAUCCAGACAUCGUCAGAGCAGCUUACCCCACUCCACGCGGAAUACCUGAUGCUGUGCCUGCUGGCCAAGCAGUACAAGGCUGGCCUGAGCGUCCUGGAAGACGAUAUAUUCGAAGUUGAUCAGCCCAAGGACUUGUUCCUCUACUGCUACUACGGGGCGAUGAUAUAUAUUGGGCUGAAGAAGUUCCGUAAAGCAUUGGAGCUUCUUCACAAUGCUGUUACUGCCCCAAUGUCGUCAUUGAAUGCAAUUACUGUCGAGGCUUACAAGAAGUAUGUCCUAGUUUCACUCAUUCAGAGUGGACAGGUAUAUCAUUUCUUUGCAUUCUAUAGUGAUUUAUGAUGCUACUUUUAGGGAAAAGUUGCCUUAUUGCGUUGGGUUUGGAUCAAUUAGUCUAUCCUGCCUAGCUUUGAUCGACGACAUUGAUGCUUCCUGUAGAUAGAUGCACAUUAUUAGUUGCCAAAAUAAGAUAUAAGAUGUAGUUUGUUGUCACCUGCAUUUGUUGUUGGGUGAACAAGUUCGUUUCUUCCCAGCUUUAAUCAGAAGAAAAUCAUUUUAAAAUGGAAUAUGUAACUUAAGACCACUACCACAUAGAAAAUAGGAAAUCAAUCAAAUGGAACACCUUGGAGAAGAAAGCGGAUGCAUUAAUAUCAAAGAUGUGUCCUAUUCAUAUAUGCCACUUGCUAGAUUAAGCUAGGUCUAAGGUAAGAAUGUGAAUGACAUAGGGCCAAAUUUGAUGCUAGAAUGCUAGAUUAAUGUAGUAACAUAUCAUAUCCCUGAAAAGAGACUACACCUGUUUCAGAUUUGCUGGCGUUACAAGCUGAAUGCAUGGACCCCCUCCUCCUAUCUUCUGUUAAUGGAAUAAUGCGAUAAACCUAUUGUGAUUUGAUGAUCAUAAAUUCAUAAUUCUUUGUUUUGUUAUCCCUAGUUGGUACAAAUAGGGAGCACAAAUAUACAAACUUUGUGAGUGAAUGAAGAAAAUAUGGCAACAUAGGCUAUUGGUGCCCAUAUUAGUGCGUGCAUAUCUAUGUUUUUAAGGCGGUAAGGCGAGGUGAGGCGCUGGGGGGGCGCCUCACCGCCUAAGCGCUAAAGCGUAAGGCGAGGCGACGCCUUAGACACGUGCAUGUAUAAUAUAUGGCAGCCAAUUAGGAGAUUUAACAACUAGCAUUAACUUAAUAAAUUGUACAUACAUAUAUAAUAGAUGGCCACCAAUUAGGAGAUUUAACAACUAACAUUAACAUAUAAACUGUUACCAAAGCAUAGGCCUCAAAUCAUCUUGUGUAUAUGACAGAACGGCGCCUUUGAAGUUCAGCUUCAUCCUCCUCAUCAAUAUAUCGCUCCAUAGCUUUAAACUUUCUAGUGUUUAAGGAAUUGUGCAUCUCUAUCCUAAUCUCCAUGGAUGCCUCGGGACACUUAUCCGCAUCACUGGAACCCCCAGAAAAGUGCUGCUUUAGCCUUCUCACUCCACCAUGGACUAUCUUGCCACACAAUGUACACUGGAGUAAAUCUUUCCUCUCUAAAUCUGGCCAGAACCCAUACUUCCAGGCUGGAUCAUCUGAUGUAGCUCUUCUCCUAGGAUCAUUGGCUAGAUCCAUUAGAGCAGGUACACCUGGCUACUGUCAAAGAAAAAGAGAGAAGAGCCAAAUCACUAGAGCAGCCAGAUCAAGCACGGGGAAGGAGAGAAGCAGUGGUGGGGCUGCUGCCUUGUGGGUGGAGAAGCAGAUCUGGGAAGAAACAGAUGCAGAUGAGGAGCGGGCAAGCACAUCUAGCUACACUGCUGUGCAUAAGAGAGGCAGCACCUAACAGUUAGUAGAGGAGCUGUGCAUAACAGAGCAGGCAAGCAUGGCAAGCUACACUGCUGGAUGGAAGAAAGAGGAGAGGGGGAAAGGGGGGAGAAGAGAGGGCUGAAUUCAUACCUUGAUGUGGUGCUGAUCUGCUGGAAGAGGGUUGCGCCAGAGGAGGAUGGGGAGGAGCUGCAGCCAGAGAGGAGGGGGAGGAACUGUGGCCAGAGGGAGGAGGCUGGCGGCUGCCGCAGAUCUGAGGAGGAAGCCUCCGUCAAUGGUCCAGAGAGGAGACAGGAGAGACCUCUCGCGUCGAUUCACUCUCUCUUUCCCCUUCUCAUAACUGGUCGCACCUGAACCAAUGUUUCCCGCGCCUGUGUUCCCGCCCAGGUCAGUUUUCCCGCCUGCAAUCUCUGUUUCCCUGCCUGACAAGCUAAGGCGUCCGAUUUGGUCUGAGGCGUGCAAGGCGGCGCUAAGGCGGACGCUUCAGACGCCUUACAGCCUAAGGCGGACGCCUUACACGACUGUCUAAGGCAAGGCCGACGCCCUGAGCCUGGAGGGCGCCCUGACGCCUAGGCGUCGCCUAAGCGACGCCUUACGGACGCCUUAAAAACAGAGGUUCCGUCAUUCCCCAAGUACACAUCUUCGACUGCUCAAAGGAAUCUGAAAAAUCACACUCAGAUUUACGUCGAUCUGUCUACAUGCUAUGGUACUGGUAGCUACUCUGAUUUGGAGACAUUCAUCCAGUCAAAUGCAGAGGCCUUCCAAACUGAUAACAACUUUGGACUAGUGAAGCAAGUUCUUUCUUCAAUGUACAAGCGAAACAUCCAGAGGCUGACCCAGACCUACUUAACUCUUUCACUUGAAGACAUUGCCAGCUCUGUUCAACUUAACACCCCGAAAGAAGCUGAGAUGCAUGUACUUAGGAUGAUUGAAGAUGGUGAGAUCCAUGCAACGAUAAACCAGAAGGAUGGCAUGGUCAGCUUUAAUGAAGAUCCCGAGCAAUAUAAAAGUAGUGAGAUGGUGGAGCACAUCGACUCUUCUAUUCAAAGGUUGAUGGCUUUGUCCAAGAAGCUGACCUCAAUUGAUCAGAACAUCUCGUGCGAUCAUGCAUUUUUGAUGAAGGUGCAGAGUGGAAGGGAACGUGCAAGAUUCGACUACGAUGACUUCGACUCGGUUCCGCACAAAUAUUUUUGAGAUGAUCAGCGCCUUAGGUGUCUCGGAAGUACUACCAUCAAGCUAGCCUUGUCCUGAGGUUAUUAUUGGUUCGACCCGUAUAUUACAGCCAUCGAAGUUUGAACCCUGUAAUUUCUGGAAUUAAAGGAUGGGAGCUUUUGCUUAGGGAUAAUUAUAUUCACUCCUAGAAUUUGUCCAGCAAGCUUUCAUUUUGAGUAC